CCCGUGUCGUGUCCUUGGCUAGUCUACAGUAGGAGUUUGAUCCUGGCUCAGGACGAACGCUGGCGGCGUGCUUAACACAUGCAAGUCGAACGGAAAGGCCCUGCUUUUGUGGGUGCUCGAGUGGCGAACGGGUGAGUAACACGUGAGUAACCUGCCCUUGACUUUGGGAUAACUUCAGGAAACUGGGGCUAAUAUCGGAUAGGAGCUCCUGCUGCAUGGUGGGGGUUGGAAAGUUUCGGCGGUUGGGGAUGGACUCGCGGCUUAUCAGCUUGUUGGUGGGGUAGUGGCUUACCAAGGCUUUGACGGGUAGCCGGCCUGAGAGGGUGACCGGCCACAUUGGGACUGAGAUACGGCCCAGACUCCUACGGGAGGCAGCAGUGGGGAAUAUUGCACAAUGGGCGGAAGCCUGAUGCAGCAACGCCGCGUGCGGGAUGACGGCCUUCGGGUUGUAAACCGCUUUCGCUUGUGACGAAGCGUGAGUGACGGUAAUGGGUAAAGAAGCACCGGCUAACUACGUG
rnacentral:rRNA from 1 species